UGGUGAGUGGCGGACGGGUGAGUAACACGUGGGUAACCUGCCCAGAAGUGGGGGAUAACAUUUGGAAACAAGUGCUAAUACCGCAUAACAACAUUUAUCUCAUGAUUUUUGUUUAAAAGAUGGUUCUGCUAUCUCUUCUGGAUGGACCCGCGGCGUAUUAGCUAGUUGGUGAGGUAAUAGCUCACCAAGGCGAUGAUACGUAGCCGACCUGAGAGGGUAAUCGGCCACAUUGGGACUGAGACACGGCCCAAACUCCUACGGGAGGCAGCAGUAGGGAAUCUUCCACAAUGGACGAAAGUCUGAUGGAGCAACGCCGCGUGAGUGAAGAAGGUUUUCGGAUCGUAAAACUCUGUUGUUGAAGAAGAACAUAUGUGAGAGUAACUGUUCACGUACUGACGGUAUUCAACCAGAAAGCCACGGCUAACUACGUGCCAGCAGCCGCGGUAAUACGUAGGUGGCAA
rnacentral:rRNA from 1 species